rnacentral:lncRNA from 1 species
AUUCAGUACCCCUCAUGUCACGUGUCAGCAGGAUGUCAUUAGUGUCAGAACGUCUCACUAUGACGGAGUAAAUCUGGGGCCAGUGUUUGGAGCGUGGGGGCAUCUAUGAUGUAGUCAAUCAGGGGCCAGUGUUUGGAGCGUGUGGGCAUCUAUGAUGUAGUCAAUCAGGGGCCAGUGUUUGGAGCGUGGGGGCAUCCAUGAUGUUUUAUAUUUGUUCUUCAGCUGGAACAAGGUGCCAGUGACGAUGAGAUCAUAAUCAGUACAGAGUUAGCAGGCUCGUUCCAUUCUCAUUGACCUGGCCAACACCAUGCCUACCCAGCUCUCCGCUCCGUAUCCUAUUGUUUUGUCCCACUCUAGCGUUGAAGUCACCCAGCAGAAACAUCUUGUCAUUCCUGGGGAUGCGGUGAAGGGCCUCAUCUAGUGACUGGUGGAAGCAGUCCUUUGCCUGAUUUUCAGAUGGUAACAUUGGUGUGUAUGCACUGAGAAGAGUAGCAUCAUUUUUUAAAAUUGUAUUUUAUUUAACCUUUAUUUAACUAGGCAAGUCAUUUAAGAGGCCUCCUGCGGGGUCAGAAGCUGGGAUUAAAAAUAAAUAAAUUAAAUAUGAAUAUAGGUCAAAACACAAAUCACGACAAGAGAGACUCCAUGUGCCUUUCAGUCUUUUAACUGUCACUGUUCUGUUGUGUGUUUGUUGUAGUAUUUAUUAUCACACACACACACACACUCUCUGACCCUCUCUUUCCUGUCUGUCUACAGUGGAGGAUCUGGUAGAAGAGGUGCCGUGUUUCUCAGACAGUACAUCUGAAGCUCUCUCUCUCAGCUCCUACACCUCAGACUCCUUCGAUGACAACGCCUCCAUAGUGACUGUAAUAUGUCUGGUGAAUAAUACUGUGGACAGUAUAGAGAAUGAAGGUAUUGCUGCACUGUACACUCCAAUAACUGUCCUCUCACAUGAGAUGUGUCCUCUACACUAACUGUAGACUCCAGUAACUGUCCUCUCACAUGAGAUGUGUCCUCUACACUAACUGUAGACUCCAGUAACUGUCCUCUCACAUGAGAUGUGUCCUCUACACUAACUGUAGACUCCAGUAACUGUCCUCUCACAUGAGAUGUGUCCUCUACACUAACUGUACACUCCAAUAACUGUCCUCUCACACGAGAUGUGUCCUCUACACUAACUGUAGACUCCAGUAACUGUCCUCUCACAUGAGAUGUGUCCUCUACACUAACUGUAGACUCCAGUAACUGUCCUCUCACACAGCCACACAAGGGAUGUGUCCCGUACACUCUUAGAAGUAAAGGUGCCUGGCAGAACCUUUUUGGGUUGCCACACUGGCAGAACCUUUCCGGUUGAACAAGGUUCCUCGAGGAACCCCU